UACGGGGGGGGCAAGCGUUGUUCGGAAUUACUGGGCGUAAAGGGCGCGUAGGCGGCCACUGCAAGUCAGUUGUGAAAUCUCCGGGCUUAACCCGGAAAGGUCAACUGAUACUGCAGGGCUAGAGUGCAGAAGGGGCAACUGGAAUUCUCGGUGUAGCGGUGAAAUGCGUAGAUAUCAAGAGGAACACCUGAGGUGAAGACGGGUUGCUGGGCCGACACUGACGCUGACAGCGCGAAAGCCAGGGGAGCAAACGGG
rnacentral:rRNA from 1 species